CAGAAAGGCUGAUAAGAAUCAAUGUCAACCUAAGAGAGAAAAUGAUACAACAAAGAAGAACUUCAUGGAACAGUCAUCUAUGUUGGAGGGUGGUGGCUCCCUCGUGAUCAUUGCACUUGCCAAGAAACAAUCCAUAAUAUAUUAUUUUAUCCAUGUAGCACUAUUUUAUACAUUGGCAAAAUUCUAGGUAUUUUGAAGUUUACAAGCAACCGAGAGUAAGAUGACAUCUUUACCAUCCAAAAAGGAUCAGAUACGAAAGUGACAUAAGAUUACCUGGGAGUUCCCAAGGGGCGAAUUUGUAUAGCUCAACUUCAGAAAUAGCCUCAGACCGGAAAGGCUUUCCCAUUACUUUCCUCUUCAAGUAGUACCAAACAAGCUCAACAUCAGUGGGGUGAAAACGGAAGCCCGGUGGGAGGUUGGUCUUAGCCAUCACGAUCUCUUGUCUAUAAUACUAUAAUGAGACUUAAAAUUUGAUAUAGCCAAACAGCAAUAACAGUAUAACUGUGCUUCUCAAAAGUAUCCUCAGCAGCGAAAACCUUUGUUGGCUCAGAAAUGGAAACCUUUGGAUUAAGUUCAGCUCCGAGCCAAAAUCUCUGAAUUAUCAAGUCCAGUGCCGAAAUAAUGCUCUACGACAACAAAACAACAGACUACGGCAUAUGAACCGAAAGUCGCACCA
rnacentral:lncRNA from 1 species